rnacentral:rRNA from 1 species
UACGGAGGGUGCAAGCGUUUAUCCGGAUUCACUGGGUUUAAAGGGUGCGUAGGAGGGCAGGUAAGUCAGUGGUGAAAUCUCCAAGCUUAACUUGGAAACUGCCGUUGAUACUAUCUGUCUUGAAUAUUGUGGAGGUGAGCGGAAUAUGUCAUGUAGCGGUGAAAUGCUUAGAUAUGACAUAGAACACCAAUUGCGAAAGGCAGCUCACUACUCAAUCAUUGACUCUGAGGCACGAAAGCGUGGGGAUCAAACAGG